rnacentral:rRNA from 1 species
CGCCGCGUGAGUGAAGAAGGCUUUCGGGUCGUAAAACUCUGUUGUUGGAGAAGAAUGGUCGGCAGAGUAACUGUUGUCGGCGUGACGGUAUCCAACCAGAAAGCCACGGCUAACUACGUGCCAGCAGCCGCGGUAAUACGUAGGUGGCAAGCGUUAUCCGGAUUUAUUGGGCGUAAAGCGAGCGCAGGCGGUUUUUUAAGUCUGAUGUGAAAGCCCUCGGCUUAACCGAGGAAGUGCAUCGGAAACUGGGAAACUUGAGUGCAGAAGAGGACAGUGGAACUCCAUGUGUAGCGGUGAAAUGCGUAGAUAUAUGGAAGAACACCAGUGGCGAAGGCGGCUGUCUGGUCUGUAACUGACGCUGAGGCUCGAAAGCAUGGGUAGCGAACAGGAUUAGAUACCCUGGUAGUCCAUGCCGUAAACGAUGAAUGCUAGGUGUUGGAGGGUUUCCGCCCUUCAGUGCCGCAGCUAACGCAUUAAGCAUUCCGCCUGGGGAGUACGACCGCAAGGUUGAAACUCAAAGGAAUUGACGGGGGCCCGCACAAGCGGUGGAGCAUGUGGUUUAAUUCGAAGCAACGCGAAGAACCUUACCAGGUCUUGACAUCUUUUGAUCACCUGA